rnacentral:sRNA from 1 species
CUUUGAAAACAAGAUCAUAUUGAACUUAGUGCAGAGAAGUUGAACACUUCGCUAAGAUAUUUUGGAGAAUAAGUCCUCGUAGCUUACUAGUUGGGAUACUGGCUGGUGACUAUCGAAGUAGUGGUGACAUUAUGGAGUUUUGUAACCGCAAAAGAGGCAAAGAAAUAUGCAAAUGUGGCCCAGAAUUAACGUACUGAACUUUUCUACACGAUAAUAGACGCUCAGUGAGAAGAAGCCAAUAUUGCUGAUAUUUAGGGAUGAAUACAGUUUCCGUUGGUAAUUUCCAAAUAAGUGUGUUGCUGUGAAUGUUAGAAAUAACAGUAUAAGAAAAGAAGUGGGGACAUCGCUCAAAACGGCAAAUAACAUACAAGUCACUAUGUAAUGCUGAAUGUUCGGGUUGAUGUUGGAAGCUGAGAUGCUUGCCACGGUCUAGUAAAGCAUAAGGAAGUAGUGAGUCGCUCUUACUGCUCAGCCCUUAUGAACCGUUGACGGAACAAAUUCGCAAGUCACAGGCGUAGAGAUAAAUACUCCAAUAUGAUUUUGUUUUGA